rnacentral:rRNA from 1 species
CUGCAACUCGCCUGCAUGAAGUCGGAAUUGCUAGUAAUCGUAGGUCAGCAUACUACGGUGAAUACGUUCCCGGGCCUUGUACACACCGCCCGUCAAGCCAUGAGAGUUGGCAACACCCGAAGUCGGUAGUCUAACCGCAAGGAGGACGCCGCCGAAGGUGGGGUUGAUGAUUAGGGUUAAGUCGUAACAAGGUAAC